rnacentral:tRNA from 1 species
GGGCGGCUGGUCCAAUGGGACGACACCUGGCCUGCAACCAGGAAAUCGGGGUUCGACUCCCCGGCUGUCCA